CGUUCCGGCGGAGACCUCCACGGCAUCAGCUGCAGCGCCGCCAUUUUUAAAUAUUUUUUAAUAAUUUUUGUAUUAGGGAUUGUUUAAGUUAUAAACUAUCAUGUGGCCCAGAAUAAAAAAUGUUUAUUUGAUAGUUUUGAGUUUAUAGAUUUUUAAAUAUAAGCCCAUUUUUCGAGCUCAGGGUGGUCAGACAUCCAAAUGGGUUUUAGUAUAACUUUCUAGAGUAAUACUUUACUUUCUAAGCUUAAAUUCGAACAUCUAAGCCAGUAGAAUUUUUAACUUCUGUUGCUUACACUUUGGUUUAAUAUGCUGCUUACAUUAAGACAGAACAAGUAUCAUGUUCAAGUAUUUGACUACAUUAUUUAUUGGAAUUAUCUUGGAUGAUUUUAUAUACUAUUCUAUAGGUUCGUUCUAUUAUUGAAUGUCGCUUCCGAAAACCAAAUUGAUGAUUUUACCUUAUUUUUGAAUCUUCCAAAAAGGGAUGUCUUUUAAUUAAUAUCUUCUCUAAGAAUUUGAAUAUAUUUGACAAAAGAUUAAUUGAGCGAUAUAAAUUUGCUUCAUUAAUUGGUUUCUCUGAUUUAUGGAUGAAAGUAAAGAGUAACAAUUUUCAAAAUUUUGCAUAAUAUUUCUUCUGGAAAGAAAUAUUUUGAGAACAGAUGUGCUUGCUGUUAUUAUGUGGUUUGUCUAUUGGAUCGAGUUAUCUCUCUACAACAUAGCAAUUUCAAAGGGGAAGUCGCUAUCGGCCCAUAUGCGGACUCACUUUAUUUUGAAGACUUGGAAAAUUCAAAGACCAGCAAAAGAAUCUUAGAAAAUACCUAUUUUUCUAAUACGUACUAGACUUUCCUAAAAUAAAGAAAUAUCCAAAUAAAAGGGCAAAUUCCAAAAAAUGGCGCUGGAAAUUCUAUUUUAUAAAUAGUAUGAAACGAAUUCAUAUUUGGAUUUUUAUAGAAAUACUAUAUAAUAUAUAAGAAUAUAUUCAACGCACGCUACCAUCAAAGAGUAUAAAUAUGAGAGAUCAAAAUGUGUGAAUUAAUGCUACUAGUACUAAUAUUCUACAUUAAGCCAAUUAUAUGCAAGACAAGUAUAACUUACAUCAGCUUAUACAUUUAUACAAUAGGCACAUUGGGACACUGCACCUUUAUUUCUAUAUUUUACUCAUAAAUGUCAUUGAAGUUGCACAUGCUUUGAACGAAAGGUUGCAAACUAUCUUAUCUUUCUCGAUAUAUACAUACCUUUAUGGUCAAAGUUGGUACUAACUUCAAAUAUCAAAACAGUUUUAUCUCAUUUUUUAAACAUAAAAUAUUAAAUAUAUAUUUGAGAAAAAUUAUAUAAACAUUCGAAAAAAUAAUUAAUAUUUUAUUUAUAAGAAAUAUAAGGUAUCAAAUUGUUUAAAAAUAUAAAAUUUGAGAUAUACAUUUAUGUUCUGCAAAAUAUCAUAAUGUAUUUUCUCGCAAUAAAUCUAUGUACAUAAUUAAAUACAAUAACAUUUCCUGUAAAAAUAAAUGAGAUUCAUACUAUAAUUUUCGUUGCACAGAUGAACACUUUAUUUUAGAAUAUAUUAUAUCAAACUUGAAAGUAAUCUUAAUACUUCAAGUAUUUCAUUACAUUUGAAUAUUUCUUCUGGAAUGAAUGAUAUUUAAUAAUAAAUAUAA